CCUACGGGAGGCAGCAGUAGGGAAUCUUCCACAAUGGGCGCAAGCCUGAUGGAGCAACACCGCGUGAGUGAAUAAGGGUUUCGGCUCGUAAAGCUCUGUUGUUGGAGAAGAACGUGCGUGAGAGUAACUGUUCACGCAGUGACGUUCUCCAACCAGAACGUCACGGCUAACUACGUGCCAGCAGCCGCCGUCAUACGACGGGGGCAAGCAUUAUCCGGAUUUCUUGGGCGUAAGGCGAGCGCAGGCGGUUGCUUAGGUCUGAUGGGAAAGCCUUCGGCUUAACCGAAGAAGUGCAUCGGAAACCGGGCGACUUGAGUGCAGAAGAGGACAGUGGAACUCCAGGUGUAGCGGUGGAAUGCGUAGAUAUAGGGAAGAACACCAGUGGCGAAGGCGGCUGUCUGGUCUGCAACUGACGCUGAGGCUCGAAAGCAUGGGUAGCGAACAGGAUUAGAUACCCCAGUAGUC
rnacentral:rRNA from 1 species